GGUAGCACUGGGAAGCUUAUCUAGUUCGAAGCCAUCACCACUGCUAGAACAGCACCACAAAGCCCAGGCUGCCCUGUUGGUAGUUUGAACACCUGAUUCUUUCAAAGCAUGAACCUUCAAGAUAGUUUUUACUCAAUCUCCUUCCUUUUACAGAAAGAGAAGAGUUGAAAUUGCUGGAGUAUCUUUGGAUCACCCCUAUGUUUGAACCUACAAACAUUAGUGCCAAGCUUGAGCAUGUUAAGGGACCAGAGGGAUACGACAGUGCAGAAGGAGAAAAUCCCAUGGUGAAGCCUGCAAGUCUAUGUUUGCUGUGACCAGGAUAUGUGAGUGGAACCUCACUGAAGGGCCCACACUAAGAGUGUUGCAAGCAUGGCAUCUACUUAUGAGGAGGAAUUUAGGAUAAAUGUUUCCCUGCGGUUGUUUUCUCUUCUCACACUGUAGCCACAUUUCCAGUACUAAAAGGAGCUAUACGUUUGGAACCCAAGAUCAGAGCACGAGUUUCAACAGACGUUGUGGCAAAUGUUGCGACAAUAGUACAGACAUUGAAAUCUGUAUUGACCCAGAAAUUGACUGACCUCCUUCUCAACUUCAGCAGGACCAGAGAGAAACCCUCGAACAUCCUCUUUUCUCCUCUAUGCAACGAUGGCCUCUCUCCUCCAAGUACCAUCACCCUCACGAGUCCUCAAACCUGGCCACAUGUUUAGUCACCCAGGGAGCUUUUAACGAAUACAAUUCCCUGGGCUCCAUCCCAGACCUCUGGGACAAAGGCCCAGGCUGGAUAUUUUAAAAGGCUCCAUAAUUAAUUCUAAUGUGUACCUAAAUUUGAAUACCACAGUCCUAGACCAAGCCAGAUGCCAGUAAAUAAGCCUAGAUUCCUCCUUCUUCCCGUCAGGAAGAAUCUAAUUGGUCAACUAAAACACAAAUCUGCCUUCUAAAUUGUUCUCCUCCAACUUCUCUAUGAUUGACUCAGAAUUUUCCUUGCUGUGACCUUGUAGUAGUUUUUCUUUCCUCUCAUAUUCUCUUUUCCCAUUAUGGUGCAUUGUUCUUGCUGCGAUGGGUUGAUCUUUGUAGUUUUGCCAGCCAUCACUUUUCUUAAAAUUCUUCGGUGAUUCAUCAGAACACAGUGAUGCGGACUCUUUAUUUUCUGAUCACUACCUGCUAUCUAGCUUCAUGUUUUGUCACCCUCCUCCCCACCCCCAUACUCUCCAUAAAACCAAAUGACUUUCUUGUGCUCUCAUGUCUUUGCCUCUGACUGUCCAUCUUCCAGUUCUGCUCUUAAGCUGACAACUGCAUUUUGUCAAGCUGAGAUAAAGUCCUCUCUCUCUGCACAUGCUCUCUUUGCCAUCAUACCCUCUGCCUAACUACAUUAUGCCACUGACAUACCAAGUUGACACAAAAGUCCUACACUGACUGGAGCCUGUUGAUCUUGCUCAGACCUAUACUUAAAUGUGUGCCCUGCACAUAGUAAGUGCUUGAUAAGUCAAUGUCAAAUGCAUGAAGAAUCGAAUAAAUGA